AUAGAUUGUUGUUCUUGUUGUUGUUGUUAUUACCUUUAUCAUAUUUAUCCAUCAGUAAACAUUAUCAACUCUCUAUAUUGUUUUUGUUAUAUACCUGGACCAUACAUGCGUGUCAACAGGACAAUACUUAUAGUGGCUACAUAUGAAUGCAUUAAGUACAUCACAUCAUUAAUUAGCAAACAACUAACAAGUUUUACAAUGCAAAUAAUAAAGGGGAGUCACUGUAUAGUCCUGCCUUCAGUUCUUUACCUCGUCACUGAAGUUGCAACACUACAUUGAAAUUACAAGCAAAGAAAGUUCCGUUCGCUGCGCCGCUCCAAGACUCGUCCUGCGCUGCUCCGGAACGUGAAUAUAAAGAGCUGAACUUUGUUGCGGCAUAUCCUCUUCGACGACAACAAGGAACUACUGGGCAACAGGUGAACUCACAGCUAGAACUGCACAUUGAAACCCCUGGAAGAAGCACUUUCACUGCCACAACCAACAGAGGACAUACUGUGGUCGUGGGUGUGGUGUGACUGGUGUUAGUGUUCGUGAAGGUGUGGUGUGGCUGGUAUUAGUGGUGGUGAAGGUGUGGUGUGGCUGGUAUUAGUGGUCGUGAAGGUGUGGUGUGACUGGUAUUAGUGUUGGUCGUGGGUGUGGUGUGGCUGGUAUUAGUGGUCGUGGGUGUGGUGUGGCUGGUAUUAGUGGUCGUGAUGGUGUGGUGUGACUGGUGUUAGUGGUCAUGGGUGUGGUGUGGCUGGUAUUAAUGGUCGUGGGUGUGGUGUGGCUGGUAUUAGUGGUGGUCGUGGGUGUGGUGUGGCUGGUAUUAGUGGUCGUGGGUGUGGUGUGGCUGGUAUUAGUGGUCGUGGGUGUGGUGUGGCUGGUAUUAGUGGUCGUGGGUGUGGUGUGGCUGGUAUUAGUGGUGGUCGUGGUGUGGUGUGGCUGGUAAUAGUGGUGGUCGUGGGUGUGGUGUGGCUGGUAUUAGUGGUGGUCGUGGGUGUGGUGUGGCUGGUAUUGGUGGUCGUGGGUGUGGUGUAGCUGGUAUUAGUGGUGGUCGUGGGUGUGGUGUGGCUGGUAUUAGUGGUGGUCGUGGGUGUGGUGUGGCUGGUAUUAGUGGUCGUGGUUGUGGUGUGGCUGGUAUUAGUGGUCGUGGGUGUGGUGUGGCUGGUAUUAGUGGUCGUGGGUGUGGUGUAGCUGGUAUUAGUGGUCGUGAUGGUGUGGUGUGGCUGGUAUUAGUGGUCGUGAUGGUGUGGUGUGGCUGGUAUUAGUGGUCGUGAUGGUGUGGUGUGGCUGGUAUUAGUGGUCGUGAAGGUGUUGUGUGGCUGGUGUUAGUGGUCGUGAUGGUGUGGUGUGGCUGGUAUUAGUGGUCGUGAUGGUGUGGUGUGGCUGGUAUUAGUGGUCGUGGGUCUGGUGUAGCUGGUAUUAGUGGUCGUGGGUGUGGUGUGGCUGGUAUUAGUGGUCGUGGGUGUGGUGUAGCUGGUAUUAGUGGUCGUGAUGGUGUGGUGUGGCUGGUAUUAGUGGUCGUGAUGGUGUGGUGUGGCUGGUGUUAGUGGUCGUGGGUCUGGUGUAGCUGGUAUUAGUGGUCGUGGGUGUGGUGUGGCUGGUAUUAGUGGUCGUGGGUGUGGUGUAGCUGGUAUUAGUGGUCGUGAUGGUGUGGUGUGGCUGGUAUUAGUGGUCGUGAUGGUGUGGUGUGGCUGGUAUUAGUGGUCAUGAUGGUGUGGUGUGGCUGGUAUUAGUGGUCGUGAUGGUGUGGUGUGGCUGGUAUUAGUGGUCGUGAUGGUGUGGUGUGGCUGGUAUUAGUGGUCGUGAUGGUGUGGUGUGGCUGGUAUUAGUGGUCAUGAUGGUGUGGUGUGGCUGUUAGUGGUC